UUAUCAAGGAUUAGGAGCAGGCCUGACUUUAACAGGCCACAGCUGUAAGCAAUGAGAAGAAGAGUGCUAUAAAAGAGUGAGGUGGCUGGGGGGAAAGAAUUGGAGUUAGUGGCUGCUUUGUGGAGAAGAAGGUGGCAGUGUUCUGAGGAGCUGACUAUGAGAAGCACCAAGAAGUUCCCAUGUUUGUCCUGGUGGGAAGGAGAGUGCACGGCUGAGACAGCCUCGUGUGCAGGCAGGAACCCCCUACUUAAACCAGCCCUCCUGACUCUCCUCAGCUGUCCCAGGAAAGGCAGAGUUUACCUAAAGCCAGAUUUACUCAGCUCUUUGUGAUUUGGGUUACAGUUUCUGCUUACUGAAAACCUCUAGAGAUGAUGGGAUUCAGCUGGGAAACUUUCUCAUAGUGAAACCUGCAGUAAAAACUUUCAUGACUAAUACAUUAAAUAACUUUUUUCUUAUGAUUUUAAACAAAAUUUAUGUUAAGUACUUCAAUGUGCAACUGUGUGGAAAGACACAUUUGGUAACAUGCUAUCAGUUUGAGAAAUAGAAGCACAAAGAAAAGACACCAGAAGGAAUGUCCUACCCAUCAAGAAAGGCAAAGCAGAAACCAGUUGAAAAAUAGCUGCUUUAAAAAUCCCUUCUUUGGACAUCAGGGAAUUUAAAGAAUCAGUCAAAAAUGCCCUGUAAGAAGCUCUGUAUGCAUGGCAUCAGUCCCUAAAUGUAAAUAACCAGCAAAGAAAAAUCUUCUGCUGGGAAGGGGAUUUUCUGAAUCGUGUUCUUUGCUCCUUUUUCACAAACAGGUUAUUUUUUGUUGACACCAUGUCUCUUUUAUAAGAAUUAAUAUGGAUUGCAAACAUAACUAAUGUGGUUAAUGCUUAUCCAAUGUGGAUGCUUAUCCAAUUACUGCCUACAAAACAGUUAUGCCACAAAUAAUCUGGAGAGCAAGCCUGGCCAUGCUGGAGUCAAUGUAAUUUUUCUGUGUGCUGAGUGAGGUCAGGAUUUGCUUGGAAGCACUUUACAGUUGCAAAAAUGUCUGCAGUCAGGAAAGGGGAUGGGAUUCUCUUUUCAGGUAAGGGAAAACCACCAAAUCCUCUUGGCAAACAAGUGGUCUUAAAAUACAAAAUAACAUGCCUUUGUAGAAGCACCCUUUUCAAAGUACACAAUCAGCCCUAAAAGGCACCAGUUUCACUUCCACAUUAAUCAGCUAGGCUGGGAUUUGUGGGGGAAACAGCACUGGGGAAAGUGUCAGUCAACAGAACAGAUGUUGAAUGCUGUAAGAGGCUUAUAUGGAGAUUAUAUUCACAAUGUAUUUCAGGAACACAUGUAGAGUCUCUCUUCAAAUUCUAUUAGCUGAUGAGUGUCCAUCAGCUUAUGGACACUGAGACUCAUCUUUGAGGCUCAGGCCACAGAUCCUGCAGAGAAACAGAGCCAGGAAAUGUACCUCCAAUACCACUGGUGCCCAGGGAGAAAAGCUUCAUUUAAAACACUUGAAGAAGGAGAGGAACAUGUCACCUCCCUGCCUGCUGCUGGCUCACCACAAGAAUCUGUAAGUGAUGGCUGAAGACAUGUGGAAAACUUUCAGUGGCAAAUAGAUCAAUUUAAUACAGGCUCUUAACUACUGUGGAAGGUCACCAUGGGAAAUGUGAAUUUUGAGCAGUGUCAGGUUUCAAAAAAGGGCAGCAGGAGCGUGGCCCAGCAACCACUGAUGAAGUCCCAAUGCAAGACAGAAGAACAGAUCAACCAUUCUGAAUAUUAAUAGCCUUGAAAAUACAAGAAAUAGGAAAAAAGGGAAGAAGUCAGUUCAGGAUUUAGAUAAAGAAGUUUAAAAGGAGAAAAACAAGGGAUGAAGAAUAAGCUAGUGUCCACUGUCUCACAAUAAAAGUGCUGUUUUCCCUCUGCUGUGACUUGUUUACAUGUUGAAGCCAUCACUUUGAAAAGCAGACCAAACCAGGACUUUUGUUAAUUUAUUAUGCUUUUCUCUGCAGAAAGAAAACAAUUUGUCCAGUCAUACCCUCUCUACUUUAUCAUGGUUUGUCUCUUAUUUCACAGUAGAUGCUGGAGUUUCAUUAGGAUGUAGGCCCUGACAAAAAAAAAAAAAACAAAAACAAAAAACCAAACAAGAAAUCUUCCUUCC